GGAAACUCGGUCGUAUUUGCAUAAAUCUGUAAAAUGAUGAAUAGUGUCGGUGAAUAGUGACCGUGAAUAGUGUCGGUGAAUAGUAACCGUGAAUAGUGUCUGUGAAUAGUAACCGUGAAUAGUGUCUGUGAAUAGUAACCGUGAAUAGUGUCGGUGAAUAGUGACCAUGAAUAGUAACCGAGCAAAAAUCCCACAUCGAAAAUUCUACCCAUUUUCAAGGAUUUGGAACUCUAUAUAAGGGGAGUUUGGCUCAAGACUUCAACACACCAAGUCCUAAGUCCUAUAGGGGAUCUAGAGAGCUUUAUAAGAAGUCUAAUACGACCAUAAGCUCUCGGGAACCUCUCCGGACUAGCGACAAAUUUUUAGGCCUUAUCAGGCCAGAUCCACUUGCUGGAUCUAUCUGCGGUGUAGAUACCGUAGAGGGCGUUACUUUUUGUGGCGUCUUCUAGUGGUGCACGGACGUCGCCAGGUCCAGUCUCGCCGGUUAAGGUUAGUAUCUCUCUUCGUGUUUUAGUGUUUUCCUAUUCUAGGAUUAAUAAAUUAUGAAUUUAUCUUUCCGUUGCAUAGUCUUAGAACUAGGUUAGUGCCAUGGUGGAAACCGUGACAGUAGGCUAAGGAAAUCAAACAAACAACCUUUCAAUUCAGUCGAUUUUGGACAGAAAGAGAGUAGAGGAGAAAGAGAGGGGGGAGAGUAACCAACGCACGUGGAGUUUGGAGACACACAGGACCAAGUACUGAGCACAAUAUCCGAGCCGAAACAUAAUCCCGAGGAGCACGAGUAGCGCACUGUGGACGACGACAACUUGUGAAGACAUCAUUUAUAUUACACUUCCAAUCAACAAAUCACUAAUGUUGGUCCUCAUGGAACAAAGAUCAUCGUUCAUGUCCGCUAAGGUUAUUUUGUUUUCAGGAUUAAAAAAAAGAAUGAAUGAGAUGAUGUAAGAACAAAGAGGAGGGAGAGAGUUAGCAAUAUCUGGAGACAGAUUAAAUAAUAGCUCACAGGUAUGGUAGAAGGAUUGAUAUGGUUGCGUAGAAGGUUUGGUCCUUCGAGGAUGUAAAUCUUCAAUAACUACAUAAUGCUACUCUUUUCCGGUUCGUCUUCUUCUAUUUACUGUUGAAGAUGGAAUCAAAAUAACAGAGGAAAUAAUAAGUUAGAUUUAAGACAUGUGCUUUUAUUAUUGUAAACAAGGUCGUUAUUCUGA